UUUUCCUGAAAAAAAGAGCACACACAGUUUGAAGCUGUGCAAUGGAAGUAAAUGAUCAAACCCCAAUUUUGAGCCAUUAUAUACCACUGUAUUAAUAACUAUUAAUAAAGCUAUAAAUAUUUCACAAUGUGAUAUCAUUAUAUCAAAGACAAUCACUGAAAAUAAAAUCAGGAUCUUGGACAGUCUACAAAUACUCCUUUUUGUCUUUCUUGAUUAGGUUUUCACUAUUCUGGUAUUCCAAGCUGAAGAAUACUGUUAUUUCCUGAGGAUAUGCCUUGCCAACUCUCUCCCAGCAAGAAGUGAGCUCCAAGGAGGAAAAGACUUUGACCUCAUAACCUUCUUCUCCUCUCUUGAGGUCAACAACCUUAGAUAAGAAAAAAAGGAAAAAGUCUAUGUGGCCUCACAUGAUGACUUGGAACAUAAGUCUUUUGAACACAGAUUGCCUUUUGAAAAUAUAGUGCAGAAGAGCACAACACAACAAAGUGCUAUGGAUGGAACAAGUUAGAAGGAUGUCUGAAAGAGAAAAUAUUAUCCAGUGCAAGUUUGCUCAACAUGUAGUACCUUAACAGAAUUAAGAUCAAGCCUCAUCUUAAAUAUAUAUAUAUAUUGAAAAGCAAUUGUUUUUCAUUUGUCAGCCAUUUGUACAACUCUUUUCUUUAUAAUCAAAGAAAUUUGAAAUCAGAAAUAAAAUAUAUGGUAAAAACUCAA